CGUAGGCGGUCCGUUAAGUUGCUGGUGAAAUCCCGGGGCUCAACUCCGGGGCUGCCGGCACGACUGGCGGGCUCGAGCACGGUAGAGGCAGAUGGAAUUCCCGGUGUAGCGGUGGAAUGCGUAGAGAUCGGGAAGAAUACCGGUGGCGAAGGCGUUCUGCUGGGCCGUUGCUGACGCUGAGGCGCGACAGCGUGGGGAGCAAACA
rnacentral:rRNA from 1 species